GCAAUUGAAUGUUGGCCCAACUCUGACCCGAUAUUAGUAUCCAACCUGCAACCCAAAUUCAACCCAAAAUCUUUCUAUCUAGAUCUGCACCAUAUAAAUUCCUUUUCUUCUUUUCUCGAUAGAUUAAAGAAUUCAGUCUGUGCGAUUCUUCACUUCUGGGUAGUGUAUGAUUUUUGGUCGUUGGAUUCGUCGGUUUUGGAUUUAUUUGAAUUCGGUUGGGUAGUCGCUAUAUCUUGUCAUUCACCGCCAAGAGAAGUUGUAGACUAAGCCGAAAAAAGAGUUUCCCCAAUCGUUUUGUCGAAUCGCUUGAGAGUCGCGCUGGAGUUGCCAUUGACGUAGAGCUAUUGUCGUCGCUGGAGGAAGAUCGUCGUGGUUGCUGUUAUCCAUUGAUUAUUUGUUUCCGGAGAAAGGACAUCGCUGCCGCUGCUUGAAUUUGGAGUGAUGAACAAAGAGUCUUAUUUCAUUUUCAUUCAAUUGGAUUUUGUUUGUUUAGUUAGUUAUGUUUUUUAUUUCCAAUUUAUAAUUCAUACGUUGAUAUUAUAUUCUUGGAACACAUCCUUGUUGAGUAUUGUUGUUUGAAAAAUUAUAUAAAACAUAACAGUGGUAUCAUAGCCAAUCAGCCAAAGCAACGAGAGCUCAAGUUCCUGGCAGAAUCUCUGUUGAAAUUGAUCGAUAGUAAUAGAUCAAUUUUGGCAAAAAGGCUAAUCCCUCAUAUUAUAUUUCCAGUAAAUCUUCUUUGUAUUACUUGGUCUGUUGAUUGCAUAUUUAGGUUAGUUUGGUUGUUUGUUUCUUGGAUAUGUUUAAGUGAACUUGUGAUUCUUGAAAUAAUAUUUGUAUUUUGUUU